AGAGAUGUGUGAUGACGCAUAUCAAUAAGCGGAGGAAAAGAAACUAACAAGGAUUCCCUUAGUAACGGCGAGUGAAGCGGGAAGAGCUCAAAUUUGAAAUCUUCAAGGUUCUACCUUGACGAAUUGUAGUUUAUAGAAGUGUUUUCUGUUAGUAGAGUGGCAAAAGUUCUUUGGAAUAGGACAUCAUAGAGGGUGAGAAUCCCGUAUUUGGUCAUUCUUUCUAGCUUUGUGAUACACUUUCAACGAGUCGGAUUGUUUGGGAAUGCAGUCCAAAAUGGGUGGUAAAUUUCAUCUAAAGCUAAAUAUUGGCGAGAGACCGAUAGCGAACAAGUACCGUGAGGGAAAGAUGAAAAGAACUUUGAAAAGAGAGUUAAACAGUACGUGAAAUUGUCAAAAGGGAAGCGUUUGACACCAGUGUUGUUUUUCCGAAAAUCAAUUACGAAUGUUUUGUUUUUGAGAAGUUAUGACUUCAUCGGCUUGCUUCUCUCUUUACGAAACUUUCUUAACGCACUUUUCGGUUAACAAGUCAACAUCAAUUUCUUUUGUUGUAAAAGGGUAUGAGGAAGGUGGCUUUCUUUUCGGAGAAAGUGUUUAUAGCCUUGUACCUCUGCAAUCGGAGAGAUUGAGGUCUGCAGCGUAGAUCCUUCGGGGUUAGAUACAUUUGUGCUAAGUUAUAGCUUUUCAUAGACAACUUGUUGACUAUGUUAAGUCUUGUAGCUUACUCGCUUAUGCUAUUUUACCUACGCUUAGGAUGUUGAUCUGUAGUGCGUGCGC
rnacentral:rRNA from 1 species